AGUUGGGCAAGGGGACCCCAGGCAGUGGUGACCUCACUUCCCUGACAACAGAGCCCAAUAGAAUUUGGAACCCCGGUAACCAGGCACCCACAUUCCACAGACAGCCCCCUGCCCAGCUCAUUUUGUUGGAGAUCCUCAAACCAAGAUGUUCACAUGCUGCCUGCCGAAGUCCAGAGGUUGCAGGCUGAAGAAAGCGCGCCCUGCAGACGCUGUCCCCCGCUGGGGAUUUUGUGUCAGGGCUCCCCACCGCCUCUGGCCAUUUGGCCGGAAGGACAGAAAGAAGGCCACGGAUGACCUCCAGAGGCGGCUGGCGGACAUACCCUCCACCCUGACAGAGGGGUUGACCCCACAGGCAUCCCCAGGAACAGAUGCUGGGGAUUGCCGGGCAAGACCUCCAAGACCACCCAGACCACUGUCCCAGGUGGUUGUUCACCGGACAGUCCAGGAGCCGGAGUCCAUGGAGGCCAAGCCCGAGGCUGCUCCACCACCUGAGGAGCUAGAGCCGGCUCCAACUCCAUCAGCAGCUCUGGAGGGAAGAGGGGGUGACUGCAGCGACUUCAGGAGGAGACCAGGAACCAGCAGGGGACCCAGCACCUGCCCAUGGAGAGCCUGGCGUGGACCAGGAAGAACAGGCUCCUGCCCCAGGCCCUGGCCCUGUUAUAGUUCCUGCCCCUGCCAGGGCCACUGCCCCUUCCCCUGCCUCUGCCUGUGCUUCUGUUCCUGCCCCUGACCCAGAUCCUGUCCCUCUCCCUGCUCCUGCCCUUUCUCCUGUCCCUUCCCCUGCCCCUGCCUGUGCUUCUGUUACUGCCCCUGACCUAGAUCCUCACCCUGCUCCUGCCCUGGAUCCUGCACCUGCCACUACUGAUGAUCCUGUCCCUUCCCCUUGCCCCUGCCCCUGGCCCUGCUCUUACACCUGUCCCUGCUCCUGUCCCUGCCCAUAUUCUAACCCCUGCCCCUACUCCUGCUCCUGCAGGGCUCCCACAGCCACAUCCAGAGCCCACAGCCCUGCAGGGAGAGCUCCUUGUACAAUUACCCUUAGUUCCAUCACCGGACCCCGACGCCCCGCCAGAUUGUUUCGUCCCCUCCCCCUAUGUUCUUUCUCUCUGGUUCGUAUUAACUGUUAUUUUAUCUUUUCAUGUCCUAUAUACUGUUUAUUAUUUGUUUUAAAUAAAAUUACUUGUUUUCAAUUGAACACGUCAUGAGCAUUAAGUACACUCCCAACGCUGUGCCACCACACCCCAGAACAUUGCUGCAGAAUAUCUCCUUCCCCAAAGGAGUCCCCGAACCAGAAGCCCUCCCUGCCCAUUUCUCUCCCAGCCCAGACCCUGGCGACCCCCAAGCUGCUUUCUCUCUCUGUUCCUUUACCUGUUCUGGAUGUUUCUGUAAGUGGAAUCACGCAAGAGGUGCCUUUGUGUCU
rnacentral:lncRNA from 1 species